rnacentral:lncRNA from 1 species
UGGAUGGAUGGGGAUGGAUGGCAUGGAUGGGAUGGAAUGAUGGGAUGAUGGAUGGGAUGGGAUGGAUGGGAUGGAUGGGAAUGGGAUGGGAUUGGGAUGCGAUGGAUGGGCAUCUGGAUGGGAUGGAUGGGAUGGGAUGGGAUGGUGGCAGGGAUGGGCUAUGGAUGGGUUAUGCGAAUGGGAUGGAUGGGAUGGAUGACUGGGCAUGGAUGGGAUGGGUUGGGAUGGGAUGGGAUGGGAUGGAUGGGAUGGGAUGGAUGGGAUGGGAUGGGAUGGGAUGGGAUGGGAUGGAAUGGGAUGGGAUGGAUGGGAUGGGAUGGGUGGGAUGGGAUGGGAUGGAUGGAUGGAUGGGAUGGGAUGGGAUGGAUGGGAUGGGAUGGGAUGGGAUGGGAUGGGAUGGGAUGGAUGGGAUGGGAGGAGGGAUGGGAUGGGACCCCGAUGCGAAUGCGGAUGCGGAUGGGAUCGGAUGGGAUGGAUUGGACUGGGAUGGGAUGGAUGGGAUUGGGAUGGAUGGAUGGAUGGAUGGAUGGGAGGGGAUGGAUGGGUUGGGACUGGGAUGGGAUGGCAUGGAUGGGAUGGAAUGGGAUGGGAUGGCAAUGGUUGGGAUGAGGUGGAUGGCAAUGGAUGGGAUGAGGUGGAUGGCAAUGGAUGGGAUGAGGUGGAUGGGAUGGGAUGGAUGGAUGGAGGAUGGGAGGGAUGAUGGAUGGGAUGGAUGAGGGAUGGGAUGGGAUGGAUGGGGUGGGAUGGGAUGGAUGGGAUGGGAUCAAUUGGAUGGAUCAAUGGGAAUGGAUGGAUGGGAUGGGAUCGGGAU